GCAACCUGGUCUAGAGGGAGGUGACCCUGCCUAUAGCAGGGGGUUGGAACUAGAUGAUCUUAAAGGUCCUUUCCAACCCAAACCAUUCUAUGAUUCUAAGAGGUCCACCAUUGGAUUACUGCUUUUUUUACAUCAUAAUGUACUUUUAUUUCUACAUGUAGGGCUGCUCAGAAGCUCUGUAAAGCACAUUAUUGGUCCACAGGUAGCACGGCUGGACUGAGAGCUUGCAGCUAAGCAGGAAGGACAAAACCUGGGGAACAUUCGGAGGCUCUGGAGGGAGGCAAGCUUCUCUGCACUGGGAGCAGCUUUUGGGGAACAUCUGUCUCCUUGCCCAGCAGGAUCUGUAAAAGCACUGUGUCACAUAAGUUUGGAAGGCUGCGUGGAGUAGGUAUGGAGAUAGCAGAGAAGGCAACAAGGCAGCAAUUCAAUUGAAAGGAUUUUUUUCUUCUUUUCAUAGAAUCAUAGAAUCACAGAAUGGUUUGGGUUGGAAGGGACCUUACAGCCCACCCAUCCCCAACCCCUGCCAUAGGCAGGGCUG